rnacentral:lncRNA from 1 species
UGGAGUAAAAGAUAACACCCUCCUCCUCAGCAUAAAUUCCCAACUUCUCUGUAAUAUUUUGCAGCUUCACUUCAGCAUCAAAACUACAAAGACAAUCUAUAGCAGUAUUCUUAUUACUUCUAUGGGGAAUGUAGGAGAAGAAGGAAAAGUGUCAUUAAAAUUCGGGAAAUGCAUAGUGAUAAGGAGAAAGGAAGGUGAGAAUGGUGCUACGAGCAAAAAUAAUAUUUAAAACUAAAAUUACUUAAUUAAGGAGAAAGAAGCAAAAGAAAAUUGAGAAAUUGCUUGAUCAGAACACAAUAUAUAGCUUCUUCUACCCCAAUGACACUUCUCUUCAUAAUACUUAGCUUCUUCCAAUUCCUAGCAAAUGGCACGAAGAGAAGUUAUCAUAUAAACACAAUAAUAUCGUCAAACAGACGCUGACAAGAAAAAAAAACCUGCAUUAUUGAAAUUUUUUGUAGGUGUAGAAGGAAUGCCAUUAGCACAAUAUAAAGCAAUUCUCUCAUCAAUUCAGCAAUAUAAUUCUGCCCAGUCUUUGAUUACUAAAGUUGGCGUGGCUUUUAGUAACUAAAUAACCAAGAUUAAGAUGUAUCGUGAAAGAAUUUUUUUAGUGUUAUCUAAUAGGUGCCCUAUUUCAAUCUUUAUGUCAAAAACUAUUUUCAUGUACUACAAAUUAUCUCUCCUUUACAACAAAAGGAAUCAUUAAUUACAUAGACAAAAGAUAAUAAACUUUGAAUAGAAGCUUCAUUCAUCUGACAAGUUAUACGAUUUCCUAGCAUUUUUUUGAGUCAAAUAAAGAAAAAGAACUAAUACAUUAUAUUUCCAAGCCUCAAUUUGACAGGUCUUAGCUGUUUCUUGAAUUCAAGUAAAAGCUAGUGAAAACUAUUUCAAGCUUUAUAUUCAUAUUAUUCUUUAUUUUAACAUGUGACCUUUUACCUAUAACAAUUUCAUCGAAAUUGUCUCCAUCCAUGUAAUUCAUUAAAUUUUACAAAGGUAAACUGAAAUCUCUAGAGUUCUUGUUCAAUUCUUGAAACAAUAAAAAAAUUUAAGAAAAAAUGAUUUGUUUAUGUGGAUAUAUCUUUGACAGAUUUUAUAACAUAAUUUUUCCUUUGUGCAUUAAUUAUAAGUAUAUAAGUAUAUUUAUUUCUAUUAUAAGAGACUCAAAUUUAAUACUUUGCAAUUUUGUUCUUACUUAAAGAAUGUAAAAAAAAAUUAUAUACAAAGAGAUAUGAAGCCAUAAUUGCACCAACCAAAGGUCACUCUUUUAUUGAACUCAGAUAAAAUCGCAAAACCUGGAAAGAGAAUAUCCCCAAAGCCAAUCAAGCCAUAGCCAUAAUAAGGAUUAGAAGAUUAGAUAGUUGAGAACUCUUAGAAGCUACAAAAAAUUUAAAAAAAGAACUGAGUCAUAUUUCAUCCCAUACAGUUUAAAGAAAAACAUAUAUAGUAAAACUAUUUAAGAAAUAAAAGUUUAUCGCAAAGAACAAACAGAAGGGAACAUAAACAAAAUCCCAGAAUAUUGGAUACCAAUACAAGGAAUACCAACCAAAAAAUCUCAAAAAUAAGGAAGAGAUAAUCAAAUCACAAAAUCAGAGAGAGGCGAUUUACCUCUGGCAGUAAUAGAAAUAAGAGAAACAGAAACUGAAGGGAAAAAUUAAAAUACUGAAGAGCAAAGGAAGAAUUUUACCUUGGGCGAGGGGAGGAAGAAGAGGAGAAGAAGAAGACCCUGUAAGGGAAGAGAAGAUUUGCGAUAAGGAUUAAGAGAAGAGCCAUUUAAGAGCAGUAAAAGAAGCAAUCGUUUCUUUUAUAGGGAAAAUAAGCGACUGUUAAGUUUUCUUUAUUGAAAAACUUUUUUUCAUCAGUUUUAAAAGGAAAAAUGUCAAAAAAGAAUUACAAUAAAGAUUAAUGUCAAUGCUGGGCUGAGAGAGGUGUCACAUCAUCCUCUCUUAGACCCAACUUCAUAUAUAUAUAUAGGAAAGAAUAAUCAGAAGAUCCAUAGAGAUUGUACACUCAUAUUAUUUGAAAUCAAAUACUAUGAUUGUUGAAAUAUUUUUCGAUCUUGAUUUUAUUUUCUUGACGAAAUUUGUUAUCUACACCUAUAUAUGAUAAAUAUAUGUUGAUUAUGUAUAAAAUAUGUAUAUUUUUUAUAUUAAGUAACUAUUAUUUAUGAGCGAUUAUAUUGUGUAGUAUUCCCAAGUAAUUAAUAAUUAAUGGAUCGACAAUUAUUACUAAGUGCCUGAUGGGCUAGCUGGAAGAUAUAACCCACAAACAAAUUUUAGGAGUAGACCUCCCUUGUACCCUGUUCAGAUUGUGGAUUAGUUUAACAUUAAAUAUAUUUGUUAAUUUUUUUAACAUUAAAUUUAUAUUUUAAUUUAUUUAACAUGCUUGAAAUAUUAAUUAUUUUAACAUUACUUUGGUUAAUUAGUUUAACACACGCUUUAUGUUAAUUUAUUUAGCAUGAAAUCAAUAUUAAUUAGCUUAAUAUUAACAAUACUUAUUAAUUUGUUUAACAUGUAUAAUAUUUUAAUUAGUUUAACAUUAAAGUAAAAUUUAUGUGAAUUUGUAUAGCAUGUAAUAAAUGUUAAUUAGUUUGACAUUAAUUUUAUUUGCAUGCUAGUAUAAGUUAUUUGUUAACUUAUGAUCCAAAUGGGAUUGUAAAAUCAUGAUUAGAUAAUUAUGUUGUCUUAAACAUGAUUAAGACGCUUAUCUAGAUAAUUGAAUAAGUUAAUUUUCAUAAUAUUUUAAUUUUUGGACGAUGAUUGGGAACAUAGUGAACUUUCGACUCCAUAAUUAAUAUAUGUGUUUAUUAACUUAAUCAAUUGAUGCUUAGUGUCAUAAUAUGUAUGUAUGUAGAACAUCGUGCCUUGCGUUAUUUUUUUACAUGAUCCUCAUUUUAUUUUUUAUUUUGUUAAAGAAAGACUACUACUUCAAAAAACAUUGUUGUUGAGCUCAACAAAGGGUUGAAACUCAAUGGUGACAAUUAUGAAACCUGGAGCUUGAAAGUCCAGUAUGUGCUAGAGGAGCAAGAGGCUCUGGAGGCCAUCAACAAUGUCAUGAAUGAGCCUGAGGAAGUCAACAUUGCUCAGCAUAGGCGUGAGUAUGAAGCCUAUGACAGUUGGAAGAAAAGGAACUCAAUUGCUCGCAUUACAUUGUUGAGCACCUUAGAUGAUGACAUUCUAAGGGAGUUUAAGGAUCACCAAAGAGCUAUGGAUCUUUGGAAUUCUUUGAGGAAAAGGUUUGGUACCUGUUCCACUGCAAGGCUGAGAUCCUUAACGUUCAAAUUUGACUCAUAUAAGAAACGCUCAGAACAUUCAAUGAAAAUACAUCUGAAGCAUUUGACCCAUAAUGAGCGAAUCACAACUCUGGAAGAUGUCCUGAGACACCUUGAGUUAGAGGAGGAACGACUUGAGGCUGCAAAGUCAAUAGCUGAGUUGCACAUGGCAACAACCUCCAAAAACAAGAGUAAUUCAAAGAAAAGAAACUGGGGAAAGAAGAGAGGGUCAUCUCAAGUUCAGCUUGCUAAAAGAGAAAAGACUGAAAAAGGCAAGAACAGACGUCCCAAACGUGUGAAAGUUGCUAAAGUGAAAUGCUAUAAUUGUGACAAGAAGGGUCACUAUGCUAGAGAUUGCUCUGAGCCUCCUAGAAAGGGAUUUCACGAUGCUCGAAUUAGUGAAAUUUGUGUUUUUAGUUCUGUUUUUCUAACUAAAUCUAAUCUUUUGUGGAUUGUAGACUAAUGAGCAACAGACCACAUAGCCUGGAAACAUAGUGCCUUUGUUGAAUUUCGGCGAGUUACACGUAGAGCAAAGUAUAUAUAUAGAGCAAAGUGUAUAUAUGUAGGCAACAACAAUAAAGUUGUUGUUGAAGGGAUCGGUACAUGCAAUUAGUCCUGCAUGGUGGUCGAGACCUAAUACUACACGAUGUUCUCUUUGCACCAACAAUUCGUCGGAAUGUUAUUUCAGUUUCAGUUUUGCUUAAGUUAGGAUUUGACUUGUUUUGUCAUGGCAAUUCUACCAAGUUGACUUUUGGUUCAACUUUAUUUGGUUUUGAUCAUGUGACCGGAGGUUUAAUUAUUAUGGAUUUGAAUUAUGAUUCAUUUAAUAAUAAUGCUAGUUUUUCUAUGUUUGUUUCUUCACAUAAAUAUGAUAGUGAUGUAAACAUAUGGCAUGCUAGACUUGGUCAUAUUGACCAACAAAGAAUGCAAAGGUUAGCAAAACAAGGUUUGCUUUCCAGCAUUAAACAUGUGGAAUUGUCCACUUAUGAAAAUUAUCUAGCUGGAAAAUCUGCAAAAAAAACUUUAGGUCUGGCAACUAGAGUCGAAUAUCCUUUGCAAUUAGUCUAUUCGGACAUCUUUGGGCCUAUGAAUGUUAGGUCUAGGCAUGGAGCAAGUUAUUUCAUCACAUUUAUUGAUGACUUUACCCGUUUCAGUUAUGUCUGUUUGAUUUCCCAUAAAUCAGAAGCAAUAAGUUGCUUCAUAAGCUAUAUGAGCUUAGUGGAAAAUCAAUUAGACAAGAAGAUAAAAGCUCUUCGAACUGAUCGUAGUCUUGAAUAUUUAUCAACUCAGUUUAAUAAUUUAUGUGAUGAAAAGAGAAUAGUUCAUCAGUUGACUAUCCCAAAUACUCCACAACAAAAUGGUAUUGCGGAGAGAAGAAACAGAACGCUCCUAGAAAUGGUUAGGUCAAUGAUGGAACAAGCUAACAUCCCAAUUAGUUACUAGGAUGAUGCAUUGCUUACUACCACCUUUGUA